UACGUAGGGUGCAAGCGUUGUCCGGAAUUAUUGGGCGUAAAGAGCUCGUAGGCGGUCUGUCGCGUCUGCUGUGAAAACUCGGGGCUUAACCCCGGGCCUGCAGUGGGUACGGGCAGACUAGAGUGCGGUAGGGGAGACUGGAAUUCCUGGUGUAGCGGUGAAAUGCGCAGAUAUCGGGAGGAACACCGGUGGCGAAGGCGGGUCUCUGGGCCGUAACUGACGCUGAGGAGCGAAAGCGUGGGGAGCGAACAGG
rnacentral:rRNA from 1 species